AGAAAGGCCUCUUGGAGAGGGGGAUUUCAUCUGAGACCUACGAGGAGACAACCUCCUCCUCUUCUGAAGAAAAAGCAUUUCAAGGAAAGAAAACUUGGGCAGCAAAGGCUUAGGGAAUGGAUGAGUUUGGAGAUUCUGAAGAACUAGAAGGAUGUGAGGGUAGCUGAAGCAUAUCAAGCUAGAAGAAGACAGAGCAGGUGUAUACCCAGGAGUGGAAUUAUGGGACUUUCCAUUUUAAACCAGGAAAAGUCUCAGGCAAACCAGGAUGAGUUGGUCACCUACCAACGUGUUGACCAUUAGGACACAAGGUGGUCAGAUACAAAGAGAUACAAGGAAGUGCGGUCUGGAUGGAGAAACCUGAACAGAUGAUUCUGAUCCAAGGGAAAUGAAUGUCCCACUCCCGCAGAUUUAAGCAAAAGAACUUGCAGCUGUAAUGUGAUGCCAGAAACCACGACUUCGCCCUCAAACUACAGAGUGCCUUCAAGACGCAAAGGUUCCGUGGCAAAGAGUCGUGAAAAAUGUGCUAAUAAACGGAUGGGAUGCAAGGUUGGAUUUUAACCUAAUAUACGCAGGUUCCAAAGGGACCGAUGAUCUGAGCCAAGAUGUAGUUUUCUGCUGGCAAAAUGCUAUCUGAUAAAACUUGGUCUAAUCUGUAAGAUAAAAAUGCCCAUUGCCUAUUCUAAUAGUAUAAUUACUUUGGUCACUAACUCCUAAGAUGGGGCCCUAUAAGUAUCAUGAAGGACUCACUGACGGUAAUAAUAAAAAGGGUCCUCGUUGUGUGUGGGCUGCUCU